AUUGAACGCUGGCGGCAGGCCUAACACAUGCAAGUCGAACGAGUGGCGGACGGGUGAGUAAUGUCUGGGAAACUGCCUGAUGGAGGGGUCUAACUACUGGAAACGGUAGCUAAUACCGCAUACCAUCGGAUGUGCCCACAUGGGAUUAGCUAGUAGGGGGGGUAAAGGCUCACCUAGGCGACGAUCCCUAGCUGGUCUGAGAGGAUGACCGGCAACACUGGAACGGAGACACGGUCAAGACUCCUACGGGAGGCAGCAGUGGGGAAUAUUGGACAAUGGGCGCAAGCCUGAUGCAGCCAUGCCGCGUGUAUGAAGAAGGCCUUCGGGUUGUAAAGUACUUUCAGCGGGGAGGCGUUACCCGCAGAAGAAGCACCGGCUAACUCCGUGCCAGCAGCCGCGGUAAUUC
rnacentral:rRNA from 1 species